UACGUUUUGUCUUAUAUUUAUUUUUCGUUUUUGGCGUAUUUUGUUUUGGUAAAUUAUUGUUUUGUCAUUGUAUUGUUAUUGAUUUGAUUUUUUUUAUUAUAGCUAAUUUGUACCGUGGGGGGUUGAUUUUGUAUUUUGUUGUUAUAAGCAGAUUUUAUUUGUCGUACCUUGUGUAUCAGGGUUUAUUAAUUAUUAUUAUUUAUUUUUUAUGUCCCGAUUUCGGAGGAGUUAAUGGUUUAUUUUAGUUACUGUUGCAUCAGUAUUAAUAAUAUUCUGUUGGUAAUGAUAUGUUAUUCGUCUUCGGUGGUAUCUGGUUUCCCAGGAAAUGAAUUUAAUUCGUAUUUUUUGUUUAAAAUUGUUCCUUUUGUGAAUUUUUUUUAACUUAAAAUAAAGGUGUUGGGGGUUUAGCUCCGUGUCCUAACACUAUAAAGUUUUUUAAUGUCAACACUAUUCUGAUCAUUCGUAGUCUUUAAAUUGGUUACCCUUUUGAGUAUGUCAAAAUUCUAUUUCUUUUUUUCCCGAUUUACAUUACUUUUAAUUUUUUUAUUGGGAUGCUCAGUUUUAUUUUUACUCUAUUGUAAUCAUGAUAAAACUAGUAAAUUAGAUUUCUAUUAUUUUAUUUGUUUUUUGUUACUUCUUAUAGAGGAACUAAGCAAAUGAUGAUAAUGUCCGCCUGUUUAACAAAAACAUCGCUUCCUGUAAGUUUUCGAAGUAUGACCUGCCCGCUGAUUCAUUGAAGGGCCGCGGUAUCCUGACCGUGCAAAGGUAGCAUAAUCAUUAGUCUUUUAAUUGUAGACUGGUAUGAAUGGUUUGACGAGACGUUAACUGUCUUUAGUUUAGAUGUAUUAUUGAAUCUGGUUUUUUGGUAAAAAUACCUAAAUUUUUUUAUGGGACGAGAAGACCCUAUAGAGUUUUAUAUAACUUUUCCUUGAGCUGUCAGGUUCACUUUUUUUGGUACUGUUGUAUUUUGUUGGGGUGAUGGGAAGAUAAAAUUAACUCUUCUUUUUUUUCGUACACUCAUUUGUGAUACUUUGAUCCUUUAUUAUUGAUUACAAGAUUAAAUUACCUUAGGGAUAACAGCGUAAUCCUCUUUGAGAGUUCUUAUCGACAAGAGGGUUUGCGACCUCGAUGUUGGAUUAAGAUGAAUUUCUGGUGUAGAGGCUUUAACAUUUUUUAUUGGGUCUGUUCGACCCUUAAAAUCUUACAUGAUCUGAGUUCAAACCGGCGUGAGCCAGGUUGGUUUCUAUCUAUAAGUAUCUUAGAUUUCUUAGUACGAGAGGACCAGAUAUCUGGAAUAAUUCUAUCUUCGUUGAUUGAUAUUAACAUUCC
rnacentral:rRNA from 1 species